UGAUGUAAGGGUCAAAAGUACCAAAUCACGUGCUUGCACGUUGAUUUGAGACUUUAUGACCCGCCCGAACACGAAUAACGUAGUCGUUUUGCACAGCAAAAGGACGUGAGUUAUGAGUGUUCAGCAACACAACUGCCUUCG
rnacentral:sRNA from 1 species